CCUACGGGAGGCUGCAGUGGGGAAUAUUGGACAAUGGGGGGAACCCUGAUCCAGCCAUGCCGCGUGUGUGAAGAAGGCCCUCGGGUUGUAAAGCACUUUCAGUGAGGAAGAACGCCUGGUGGUUAAUACCCAUCAGGAAAGACAUCACUCACAGAAGAAGCACCGGCUAACUCCGUGCCAGCAGCCGCGGUAAUACGGAGGGUGCGAGCGUUAAUCGGAAUUACUGGGCGUAAAGCGCGCGUAGGUGGCUUGAUAAGCCGGUUGUGAAAGCCCCGGGCUCAACCUGGGAACGGCAUCCGGAACUGUCCAGCUAGAGUGCAGGAGAGGAAGGUAGAAUUCCCGGUGUAGCGGUGAAAUGCGUAGAGAUCGGGAGGAAUACCAGUGGCGAAGGCGGCCUUCUGGACUGACACUGACACUGAGGUGCGAAAGCGUGGGUAGCAAACAGGAUUAGAUACCCUAGUAGUC
rnacentral:rRNA from 1 species